AGUGAACGCUGGCGGUAGGCCUAACACAUGCAAGUCGAACGGCAGCACAGUAAGAGCUUGCUCUUACGGGUGGCGAGUGGCGGACGGGUGAGGAAUACAUCGGAAUCUACUUUUUCGUGGGGGAUAACGUAGGGAAACUUACGCUAAUACCGCAUACGACCUACGGGUGAAAGCAGGGGAUCUUCGUACCUUUCGCGAUUGAAUGAGCCGAUGUCGGAUUAGCUAGUUGGCGGGGUAAAGGCCCACCAAGGCGACGAUCCGUAGCUGGUCUGAGAGGAUGAUCAGCCAAACUGGAAAUGAGGCACGGAACAGACUCCUACGGGAGGCAGCAGUGGGGAAUAUUGGACAAUGGGCGCAAGCCUGAUACAGCCAUACCGCGUGGGUGAAGAAGGCCUUCGGGUUGUAAAGCCCUUUUGUUGGGAAAGAAAAGCAGCAGGUUAAUACCCCGCUGUUAUGACGGUACCAAAAGAAUAAGCACCGGCUAACUUCGUG
rnacentral:rRNA from 1 species